CCUGCCGGCCACCCCUCAGCUUCAGCUUGGCUCCUGUAAAAGCGGACCCGCUCUGUGCCUAGCAUCCCCUGGAAGCAGUUGGUACCAGUCCUCUAUCUCCUUACCAGUGACCACAGCUAACAUUCAGCCAAGGGGGACUCUGGGUGAGGGACAAAACCCAGCUCAGGCACCUGCCUCCUACCAACGGGAUCAGUGCUGCCUCCCCAGCACCCUAUUCCAAGCACCAAAAAGCCUGCUCCACCCCAGGCAUCCUGCCCAGCUCUUUGGACUUGGACGUUGCUCCCGCCACUCGGAGGCUGAUCACCCGACAGGCAUUAUUUCCUGGUUCCAGACCCAGGCAUGGCCCCACUGGUUCCAGGGGGCCCUAAAAUAAACUCCUCCUACUCCUUCUCCCGGUCA